rnacentral:lncRNA from 12 species
UCUUUUAUAGUUGAAAUUUAUCAUUUCAUUUCUCAAUUGAAUUCAUAUUUUAUCCUUUACGCUUGAAAGCUUUUUACUAAUCACUCUGCAAUGAAAGUGCCGUCCACUGGAGAGUACCUGGACUCUGUGUUUGAAGAUCUCUGUCUAAGAAAUUCACCAUAGGAAUGUGAGCUACAUCUGGUGAGACAUCUAGUUCUCUUGAUGCCUUCUUUAAGGCUGCCAAACAUUGCAAUGGGAUUCGUUAAUUUCGCUUUUAGUUUUGGUGGGUUUCCUACUUUAGAAUGAAGGUCGACUAAGGACUACUUACACUUUCUGCAAAUUCCCUUGACUCUGAUUUCUAUUUCAAAUAUUAAAGGCAAAGGUUUUUUUUCCGCUUCCUCCGUUUUCCAUAACUUUAAGGAAAGGAGGGAGGUAUUGACUCAAGUUAUCUGUAGACUGAUCUUAGCAUGAAUAUAAGAGGUUCAUGCUUUUGAACUUCUUUUGAUCUUAAUCCCAAAUGCCUCCCUAUUCAGAGCCUUGGUGCCUAAAGUUCUCCCCCAAAGGAUGCUUUGCCUUAGACUGGCAGUCUUGUUGCUUUUCCUUCACCAGUGAAGUGAUAGGGUCAAAAAACCCAGGAUGGCUGGUUGUAAAAGAAGUAUUGAAGGAAGAUAGCAACUUAGAGAAGAAGAGGUAGCUGGAGUUCUUAAGAAUGGAGAGGAGGCUCUUUUGAAGUUCUUUUUUUUUUUUUUUUUUUUUAAAGAUUUUAUUUAUUUAUUCAUGAUAGUCACAGAGAGAGAGAGAGAGAGAGAGGCAGACACAGGCAGAGGGAGAAGCAGGCUCCAUGCACCGGGAGCCCGACGUGGGAUUCGAUCCCGGGCCUCCAGGAUCGCGCCCUGGGCCAAAGGCAGGCGCCAAACCGCUGCGCCACCCAGGGAUCCCGGCUCUUUUGAAGUUCUAAGACCAAUUCCAACAUCUGUGUCACCAGGCAUGACCUCAGUUGGUGUCAAGAUUUCAAAAGCCCAUGUAAUACGUCACACAUUCCUGACUCAAAAUCCUUGCCUACCAUGUAAAGGGGUUUGCACGUUACAAAGAGCCUGGAAGAAACGGCCGGGGCACACUCUGAAGGUCAGCUUUUAUCUAGCAGCAACUUUUUACUUUUAACUCUUUUUAGACUUCCUUCACAAUGGCCUAUGUUUAUGAGGGUGAACAAGAAAAAAGCAAGACGUUUUCUGGGUCUGACUCCUACCCUAGUGGCCUCUAGAUUGGAUUUCCCGAUUUUGGAAAUUAAAUAUACCCUUUAAAUAUGAAAUAGUUGGGCAGCCCGGGUGGCUCAGCGGUUUAGUGCUGCCUUCAGCCCAGGGCAUGAUCCUGGAGACCCGGGAUCGAGAUUGAGUCCCACGUUGGGCUCCCUGCAUGGAGCCUGCUUCUCCCUCUGCCUGUGUCUCUGCCUCUGUCUCUCUCUCUCUCCGUCUCUCUCUCUUUCUAUCUCUCAUGGAUAAAUAAAUAAAAUAUUAAAAAGAAAAAUGAAAUAGUU